rnacentral:rRNA from 1 species
CCCUUAGAUGUUCUGGGCUGCACGCGCGCUACACUGAUGCGCUCAACGAGUUUUAACCUUGCCUGGAAAGGUUGGGUAAUCUUUUUAAAACGCAUCGUGAUGGGGAUAGAUUAUUGCAAUUAUUAAUCUUCAACGAGGAAUGCCUAGUAAGCGCAAGUCAUCAGCUUGCGUUGAUUACGUCCCUGCCCUUUGUACACACCGCCCGUCGCUCCUACCGAUUGAAUGGUCCGGUGAAGCGUUCGGACCGUGGCCUUUGGACGGUUCGCCGUCUGUUGGCUGCGGGAAGUUCGUUAAACCUUAUCAUUUAGAGGAAGGAGAAGUCGUAACA